GGGCGUGGCCUGCGACCGGGACUGGACGCACCACCCCCCCGUCAUGAGGUGAAGCCAGCUCUGGUCCGGGCCAUUUCAC
rnacentral:miRNA from 1 species